rnacentral:rRNA from 1 species
AUUGAACGCUGGCGGCAUGCUUUACACAUGCAAGUCGGACGAGUGGCGAACGGGUGAGUAAUAUAUUGGAACGUACCGAGUAAUGGGGGAUAAACAAUCGAAAGAUUGGCUUAUACCGCAUAUUAUUCUAACCGCCAAUAUCGGAUUAGCUAGUUGGUGGGGUAAAGGCCUAUCAAGGCGACGAUCAGUAACGGGUCUGAGAGGAUGAUCCGCCACCCUGGGACUGGGACACGGCCCAUACUCCUACGGGAGGCAGCAGUGGGGAAUUUUGGACAAUGGGCGCAAUCCUGAUCCAGCCAUGCCGCGUGUCUGAAGAAGGCCUUCGGGUUGUAAAGGACUUUUGUUAGGGAAGCGGUACCUAAAGAAUAAGCACCGGCUAACUACGUGCCAGCAGCCGCGGUAAUUC